AUGUGAAACAUCACAAUCUUGCAUUUCAGUUGUGGGCGGAUGCCAGUUGGUUCACCUGCCAUCUUAUUAUGCAAUUCUAGUGUACUGGUAAGCAGGGUUUCUGCACCUGAAUUCAAAGGGCUGCACAUAGGAGGUCUCACACUUCCCAAG